CGGCACGAGCAAGAAGCAUCAAAUGUCUGUCUCAGAUACCAGGCGUCGCACGCAAGUUUUUAACCAAACAUGACCGAAUUGCUCACCUUGUGCGACGCUGUGCUACUAAACAUUUUGCAAUACCUUGAAUUAAGCGACAUUUUGCGUUUGUCUUUGACUUGCAAACGAUUGAAUACGGUGUGUUAUGAUGAAUCCUUAUGGAGGGAUGUAAGCUUUGAAAAAUGCAACAACCUCUCUUUGCAGCAGUUCAAAUGUUGCAUAGGUAGAAGUUGGAAACACAUCAGCAGCUUAAAUAUGAACUACAUGCACUGGAUACCAGGAAGGUACAUACAGUGGGCAGCUGUGAAGUGCAAAAACCUUCGCAGAUUGUCAGUGUUGGGGUGUGG